GAUUUCCCCCAAAUUUGGCAUGUAUGACGUUUAAAGAUUAUACCAACCAUUCACCAAGUUUGGUGAGGUACUUUUGAAUACUCUUUACACAACACCAUUUUAAAAGUUUAUGGUUGACCCUCGAGCAAUUUCGUACACGUGCGCGAUCCUUGGCUCCGCGGAAAAUGGUUUUAGAAAAGAUCUCUUACGGAAAAAACACCGCUGAAUCGAUGGAAAAUGUACAAGAAAGUAAUUUGAACCGGCAGUGAGAAAACGAGAUCGUCAGAUCAAGCGAAGGAGAAGUUGAAGAUGAGAAGUAAUCGAGCGACCUAACAAGGUUGCGUUACUACUUGGCCUGCGUCAUUACGCUCCUGGGGGCAGAGUGCGAUGGAGAAGUUGAAGAUGAGAAAUUAUCGAGCGACCGGAAAAGGCUUGCGGUUCAACUGUCUGCUGAGUAAUACAAUGGCCCUUGUCUUGGUUUCAGUUCUGGUAGAGGCAAAUUAUUAAAAUGGCGGAAAGAAGGGAUGCUGUUCUUCGCGCGGCUUGUGACCAUUUAUCAAAUAAUUUGAAGUUUACUCUGCAAUUGAAGCGCGAACAGCGUAAUGCUGUGGACUAUUUACUUAAGAAAGAUGAUGUGCUCGCGGUUCUUCCGACAGGAUACAGCAAAAGUCUUACUUUCCAACUCUUUGCUGUUGCUGCGUCAAUUGAAGGGGAAGAGCGGCAAACUGUGUUGGUUAUUUGUCCUUUGAAAAGC